rnacentral:misc_RNA from 1 species
GAUGAAGAACGCAGUGAAAUGCGAUAAGUAAUGUGAAUUGCAGAUUUCAGUGAAUCAUCGAAUCUUUGAACGCACAUUGCGCCCGCUAGUAUUCUGGCGGGCAUGCCUGUUCGAGCGUCAUUUCAACCAUCAAGCCCUAGGCUUGCGUUGGAGCCCUGCGGCUGCCGCAGGCUCCCAAAUCCAGUGGCGGGCUCGUCGUCGUACCGAGUGCAGUAAACAUCCUCGCUCAGGGAACGUGACGGGUUCUUGCCGUGAAACCCCCCACAUAUCAAGGUUGACCUCGGAUCAGGUAGGAAUACCCGCUGAACUUAAGCAUAUCAAUAAGCGGAGGA